rnacentral:misc_RNA from 1 species
AAAGUCGUAACAAGGUUUCCGUAGGUGAACCUGCGGAAGGAUCAUUACAAAUCGAGGCCCGUAAAACGGUCUAUAUGUUCGAGGCAGCAAUGCUUCGUGACAUUUACGCUUGUAUGUUUGACAGAGUUAGUGUGAUUAUAAACAAAGACAACUUUUAACAAUGGAUCUCUUGGCUCUU